rnacentral:lncRNA from 1 species
UCCCAAAGUGCUGGGAUUACAGGCGCGAGUGGCCGCUGGGGUUCUUAACUUGGGUCUUUGAAUCGCCUUAAGAAGUGUCUCUGAAUCUGGGAAUUGCAAGCAACGUUUCUGUGAGGACCUUCACACAGUUCAUCCACUCUUCGAAGAGUAUGGACCGAAAAAGGCAUAGAGCAUUCACUGCACGUAGAGAAAAUCAGCAACCCCUGCUCCCCACCCUCAGCCUGAGGUGCCUACCUCCACGUGGGGUCAGGAGGCGGAAGCGAAACCAGAAGAAAAAACCCUGAGAUCUAUAAGGCAGUUCAGGUCCCUAGUGACAUGAGCUAAAGAGAACUUGGACGCCAGGACUGUAGCAGACAGAGUCCGGCUUCGGGGUUCGCAUCAGUCGCACGGAAGGUGGAAAUAGCCCCCAAGUUGUAACCCGCCGCGGUCUUCCCUCAACAGCGCAGGCGCCAGGACUGCUAGGACGCCGCGCACCUCCCGCGAUGCCCCGCCCCGGCGCGAGGCAAGACGGGAAAGUCAAGAUGGACGCGUCCAUUUGAACGUCUCGCACGCCUUCCUGCCAUUAGCACUCGAGCCCGCUGCUGUUGCCCGUUCUUCCUCCAGAAUAGGGGAGGGAGAGGGAAUGAGAAGCUGCUGCGGCCCAAGAGUCACUGUGAAGGACCCCGCCGCUGCCCUCGGGCCUCCUCGGCCCCUGCGCCUCCGGGGAGCAGCCGGGGCUCGCCGCGCCUGACGCGUCCCGAGUUAUACAGAAAUAAUGUUGAUAUUUGGAACCCAUGUCGAACUUCUAUGAAGAAAGGACAACGAUGAUUGCAGCAAGGGAUUUGCAGGAAUUUGUUCCUUUUGGUCGAGACCACUGCAAGCACCACCCUAAUGCUUUGAACCUUCAACUUCGCCAGCUGCAGCCAGCUUCUGAAUUAUGGUCUUCUGAUGGUGCUGCUGGCUUGGUGGGAUCCCUUCAGGAGGUUACAAUCCACGAGAAACAGAAGGAAAGCUGGCAGUUAAGGAAAGGAGUAAGUGAAAUUGGAGAAGAUGUGGACUAUGAUGAGGAACUCUAUGUUGCUGGAAAUAUGGUGAUAUGGAGCAAAGGAAGUAAAAGCCAGGCAUUGGCAGUUUAUAAAGCAUUUACAGUUGACAGUCCUGUUCAGCAGGCAUUGUGGUGUGACUUCAUUAUAUCACAGGAUAAGUCUGAAAAGGCCUACAGUAGCAAUGAAGUAGAAAAAUGCAUAUGUAUAUUGCAAAGCUCAUGUAUUAACAUGCAUAGCAUAGAAGGAAAGGAUUACAUAGCUUCAUUACCAUUUCAGGUAAACAAGUGUUUCAAAUUUUGGGGGGGUUUUGUUGGAGAACAUUUUUGAAUUAAUUGGUUUUAGAGGCAUGUCUUAUGUCUCAUGUUUCGUAGUAGUCAAAAAUGUUAUUUUUACUCAAAAUAACUAAAUUUUGGCAGCUUUAGUGGCUUACCAUUUUUCUGUACUUCACAAGAAAAUAAGUUAUUUAGUGAAGUAAAUUAGGAAGUCUUCUGUGGUAUGUGUUUGUUGGUUUAAAUGAUACCUAAGAACUUUUGGUUAUAUUAAAUAAGGCAUAUGAAUAACACCAGUCUUUUUUUGUUACUCAUCGUCUUUUUAAUGCCUAGGGCUAUUGUUAACACAUUGUCAUUUUGUUACUGAUCCUGGCCAGUGGCAGGAAUUUCACAUUGAACAACUCCUCUUUAUUAGAUUUGAUUUUAUCUUAGAGUUGCUUAUUUGUAUUACUUUUUAAGAAAAUACCGUAUUUAAUGAUUAUGUUACUUUGUAAAGCUAUUACUAAAUUGGAAAA